AAGGGGUACAGUGACAUCACCGGCAAGUAAUGAAGACCGUGCCUCUAUUGAGUGUUUCUUAUUUUGGACUCAUACUAUUGGAAAAGCAUGGCAGUGGGAAGGCAUUCCUUUCUGCUUCCUUGUUUCAGUGGUGAUGCUCCUGAAGUGAGGCUCCACUGCACAUCAGAUAGAGAAGUAUUUUUAUAGAUCUAAUUUACUAAGAGUAUGAAAAAAACCCACCUGAGUAGGUAUCCUGCUGUAGUUUCUAAACCAGUCUACCUGGAGAGAACUGAGUGGCCGCAUGUCAUGUUAUGGUCUUGACUUUCAGCAUCGUCUGUCAGGCAUGAAGCCUCCUGUGGUCACUGUUUGUCACUCUCUGCAGCCCUCAGGGGAACAUUCCUAGCUGAUAAUCCCCGGCCCAGGACAAUUAGGAGCAUGGUUUGCUGAUGGCCAGUCCUCCCAGCUUCUGUGUCUGUGCAAGUAUCCUCACUUUGCUUUUCCUUUUCCAAAGGUACUUUUGCUGGAUGUAUAGUUGGUUACAGAUCUCUGGACUGGAGGGCCUUCCUUCUGUCCUUUAAGGGAGUUGCUGUACUGAAUUCUCUCAAGGAAUUUGGUAACAAGGCAUCUGCUGUCAUCCUAAUUUAUUUAUUUAUGUGGCUGCUUUUAAGAUUUUUCAUCUUUUUUCUGGCUUUAAGAAAUCUGAUGGUCACAUCCCUUGGGCAGUUUCCUUCCUGCCUGUUAAGCUUGGCUUUGCUGGGCUCCUUGGCCCCAGGGGUUGUUUCCAUUAGGAUGCAUUGCAGCUGUGACUUUACAAACAUUUUUCCUACUCUCUUUUUGAUUUUUCCUUUUGAGAUUCCAGUGACAGGUGUAUAAUGCUGCUUGAAGUUGUCACACAGAUCAUGGUUACUCCUGCUUUAAAAUGAUUUUUUCUCUCUGUGUUCUCUUUUGGUUGGUCCCCUGCUUUAUCUGCCCGCUCCCUUGAAUUUUCUGUAAAGUCUGAUGUGUUACUAAUACUAACAGGUGUGCUUUCACCUCACACACUUUUCUCAUCUCUAGGAGUUUGAUUUGGGCCCCUUUUUAAUGUUUUCUGUGCUUUUAUUUAAACAUUGAACACAUGGCAUAACUACCGACUAUCAUCAUCUCUCUGUUAAUUCUAACAUCUGCUUCAGCCUUUGCUGGUUCUGGUUUGUUUUCAGUGACUGAUUUAUCUACUUUUUAUGAUUAUGGAUGUUGGUUCUAUACGUUUUGAUCAUAGGAUACCAAAUUGCCCUUUAAAGCUGUUUCAUAGUUGACUGAAUCACUACCAGAACACAAGGGCCUACUUUCUCCCUAUGCUGCUAGUGCUGGGCUCUGCCAGUCUUUAACCUUUAACCUUUCCCAAUCUCACAGGCUGAGACUACUGACUCCCACAACUAACGUUUAUGGGGAAGCAACUACCAGCCCAGUGACAGGGGGUGGCACUUUGGUGGCACCACUGCAGCCACAGUACUGCCCUUGUGAUACGUGUGGCCUGACUAUGUCUCCCAUGUUUUAUCUGCAUUUCCAUUGUUUCCUAGGGAUCUGGAGGAUCCCUCCUCAAGUUUAUUGGCUACUUACAGUUCUUUGGUAAGUACUGCCUACUAAUGUCCGAUGAGCAAUUUUAACUGCAUUGUUUGUAUUUCAAAAAAAUUCCUUUGUAAAAGCCAUUUAU